UACGAAGGGGGGCUAGCGUUGCUCGGAAUCACUGGGCGUAAAGCGCACGUAGGCGGAUCCUUAAGUCGGGGGUGAAAUCCUGGAGCUCAACUCCAGAACUGCCUUCGAUACUGAGGAUCUCGAGUCCGGGAGAGGUGAGUGGAACUGCGAGUGUAGAGGUGAAAUUCGUAGAUAUUCGCAAGAACACCAGUGGCGAAGGCGGCUCACUGGCCCGGUACUGACGCUGAGGCACGAAAGCGUGGG
rnacentral:rRNA from 1 species